UACGUAGGGUGCGAGCGUUAAUCGGAAUUACUGGGCGUAAAGUGUGCGCAGGCGGCCGCGCAAGUCGAGUGUGAAAUCCCCGAGCUUAACUUGGGAAUUGCGCUCGAAACUACGUGGCUGGAGUGUGGCAGAGGAAGGUGGAAUUCCACGUGUAGCGGUGAAAUGCGUAGAUAUGUGGAGGAACACCGAUGGCGAAGGCAGCCUUCUGGGACAACACUGACGCUCAUGCACGAAAGCGUGGGGAGCAAACAGG
rnacentral:rRNA from 1 species